GCAAUAAGUCCAUCCAAGAAAAAGGAAAAACAAAGUACAAGCAAAAAUUUGGUGUGCGGUUGUUUUCUGUUUUCGUUUUUCGUUUCCAGCUGUUUUCGUCGCCUUGCACACUCUUGGCGCCUUUAGUGUCCCCCGACCGGCAACCCGGCCAACCCCCCUUUUUGGCCAAGCCAAUCUCCAUUUUACUCUGGCAAACUCUCAGCAAACUCCUCAAGUUGAAGUUGAAACUAAAGUCGUUAGUUAUUAAUAACAUUUCAUGACAAAUAUUGAAUUGCUGCUUGUAACAGUGAAAUGUGAAAAUGUAACUCGAUGCGCGGUUGGAAAUAUAAGUAGUUCGGAUUUUAUAUUGCCACUUUGACAACAACAACUACAACCACAACAGCUACAUACAUAAUACAUACUACAGGGUAUGCAAGUCAAUAUUGGGAUCAAUUGUGAAUGGCAAUGGCAGAAAUAGAGAUGACAAUAAUGAUGAUGGUGGCACAGAAACAAAUGAUGCAGAUGAUGAUGAUGACGAUGAUGAUGAUGAUGGUGAUGAUACUGGCACCAAAUGGUUCCUAAGAGACAGAGAACAGAGACACAAAGCCGGAGAGAGAG